CAGGACUCUGACUGGGCCACUUCAGAAGGCGUAUUUUCUUCUGUUUAAGCCAUUCUGUUGUUGAUUUACUUCUAUGCUUUGGGUCAUUGUCCUGUUGCAACACCCAUCUUCUGUUGAGCUUCGGCUGGUAGACAGAUGGCUUUAAGUUCUCCUGCAAAAUGUCUUAAUAAACUUGGGAAUUCAUUUUUCCUUCGAUGAUAGCAAUCCGUCCAGGUCCUGACGCAGCAAAGCAGCCCCAAACCAUGAUGCCCCCACCACCAUACUUCACAGUUGGGAUGAGGUUUUGAUGUUGGUGUGCUGUGCCUUUUUUUCGCCACACAUGGUGUUGUAUGUUUCUUCCAAACAACUCAACCUUGGUUGAUGACUUAAAGGUAGGCAGACAAUGUAAUAGAGCAGCAGGAAAUGCUAGCAGAAUGCUUGGUUGUAUAGGGAGAGGUAUUAGCAGUAGAAAGAGGGAAGUGCUCAUGCCAUUGUACAGAACACUGGUGAGACCUCACUUGGAGUAUUGUACACAGUACUGGAGACCGUAUCUUCAGAAGGAUAUUGAUACCUUAGAGAGGGUUCAGAGAAGGGCUACUAAACUGGUUCAUGGAUUGCGGGAUAAAACUUACCAGGAAAGGUUAAAGGAUCUUAACAUGUAUAGCUUGGAGGAAAGACGAGACAGGGGGGAUAUGAUAGAAACAUUUAAAUAUAUAAAGGGAAUCAACACAGUAAAGAAGGAGACUAUAUUUAAAAGAAGAAAAACUACCACAACAAGAGGACAUAGUCUUAAAUUAGAGGGACAAAGGUUUAAAAAUAAUAUCAGGAAGUAUUACUUUACUGAGAGGGUAGUGGAUGCAUGGAAUAACCUUCCAGCUGAAGUGGUAGAGGUUAACACAGUAAAGGAUUUUAAGCAUGCGUGGGAUAGGCAUAAGGCUAUCCUAACUAUAAGAUAAGGCUAGGGACUAAUGAAAGUAUUUAGAAAAAUGGGCAGACUAGAUGGGCCGAAUGGUUCUUAUUUGCCGUCACAUUCUAUGUUUCUAUGUUUCAUCUGUCCACAGAAUAUUUUGUCAGUACUGCUGUGGAACAUCCAGGUGCUCUUGUGCAAACUGUAAACGUGCAGCAAUGUUUUGUUUGGACAGCAGUGGCUUCCUCUGUGGUAUCCUCCCAUGAAAUCCAUUCUUGUUUAGUGUUUUACAUAUUGUAGAUUCUCUAACAGGGAUGUUAGCAUUUGCCAGUGACUUUUGUAAGUCUUUAGCUGACACUCUAUGAUUCUUCUUCACCUCAUUGAGCAGUCUGCGCUGUGCUCUUGCAGUCAUCUUUACAGGACGGCCACUCCUAGGGAGAGUAGCAGCAGUGCUGAACUUUCUCCAUUUAUAGACAAUUUGUCUUACCGUGGACUGAUGAACAGCAAGGCUUUUGGAGAUACUUUUAUAACCCUUUCCAGCUUUAUGCAAGUCAACAAUUCUUAAUCGUAGGUCUUCUGAGAGCUCUUUUGUGCGAGGCAUCAUUCACAUCAGGCAAUGCUUCUUGUGAAAAGCAAACCCAGAACUGGUGUGUGUUUUUUAUAGGGCAGGGCAGCUGUAACCAACACCUCCAAUCUCAUCUCAUUGAUUGGACUCCAGUUGGCUGACAUCUCACUCCAAUUAGCUCUUGGAGAUGUCAUUAGUCUAG
rnacentral:lncRNA from 1 species